AUGAACGCUGGCGGCGUGCCUAAUACAUGCAAGUCGAGCGAACAGACGAGGAGCUUGCUCCUCUGACGUUAGCGGCGGACGGGUGAGUAACACGUGGAUAACCUACCUAUAAGACUGGGAUAACUUCGGGAAACCGGAGCUAAUACCGGAUAAUAUAUUGAACCGCAUGGUUCAAUAGUGAAAGACGGUUUUGCUGUCACUUAUAGAUGGAUCCGCGCCGCAUUAGCUAGUUGGUAAGGUAACGGCUUACCAAGGCAACGAUGCGUAGCCGACCUGAGAGGGGGGUCGCCCACACGGGAAGAGACCCACGGCCCAGCCCCCUAGGGAGGGCACCAGAGGGAAUCUUCCCGGAAGGGGGAAAACUUGGACGAACCACCCCGGGGGGAGUGAGAAGGUUCUUGGAACCGAAAACCUUUUUUAUGGGGAAAAAAAAAAUGGGAAGGUAACUAGCCCCGUUUUGACGGUACUAACACAAAAACCCGCGCCUACCUACGC
rnacentral:rRNA from 1 species